GGAAGAAGGAAAUUUUGCAAUUUUACAAAAGUAUUCUCAACCAGUAUUUGAACAUUGAAACAUAAGUUACAUGAAGAGAAUAAUUUACAUGCAUUGGUUUUGUAUACUUUCAGUAAUAAUAAUUGAAUUAAAUUCUUGAUGGAAUAAGUGGAGUUGAAUUUUGCAGAAAAGCACUAGCAGCUGCAACUCCACUACCAAACUUCACUGGAUAACCAAUAUCCUUAAGUACCAUUUCAACUCCAGCAAGACAUCCCAAUAGUUGCAACUCAUUCAAGUUUCCAAGAUGUCCUAUUCUGAAAACUUUUCCUGCAACUUUGUUUAGGCCGAGACCUAAGCUUAAGUUGUAUCGCUUCCAUGCCCUUUUCACGAUUUCAGAACUUUCAAUGUGUGGAGGAACAACAACGGCUGUGACUGUAUCACUGAACCAUUCCUCCUUCUGAGUGCAGUUCUUCAAGCCCCAUGC
rnacentral:misc_RNA from 1 species